rnacentral:rRNA from 1 species
AGGUUACUGCUAUCGGUGUUCGCCUAAGCCAUGCGAGUCAUAUGUUCUUCGUGAACAUGGCGUACUGCUCAGUAACACGUGGAUAACCUGCCCUUAGGUCCGGCAUAACCCCGGGAAACUGGGGAUAAUUCCGGAUAACGCACAUAUGCUGGAAUGCUUUAUGCGUCAAAUGGAUUCGUCCGCCCAAGGAUGGGUCUGCGGCCUAUCAGGUAGUAGUGGGUGUAAUGUACCUACUAGCCUACGACGGGUACGGGUUGUGAGAGCAAGAGCCCGGAGAUGGAUUCUGAGACAUGGAUCCAGGCCCUACGGGGCGCAGCAGGCGCGAAAACUUUACAAUGCGGGAAACCGUGAUAAGGGGACACCGAGUGCCAGCAUCAUAUGCUGGCUGUCCGGGUGUGUAAAAUACACCUGUUAGCAAGGGCCGGGCAAGACCGGUGCCAGCCGCCGCGGUAACACCGGCGGCCCGAGUGGUGAUCGUGAUUAUUGGGUCUAAAGGGUCCGUAGCCGGUUUGGUCAGUCCUCCGGGAAAUCUGACGGCUUAACCGUUAGGCUUUCGGGGGAUACUGCCAGACUUGGAACCGGGAGAGGUAAGAGGUACUACAGGGGUAGGAGUGAAAUCUUGUAAUCCCUGUGGGACCACCUGUGGCGAAGGCGUCUUACCAGAACGGGUUCGACGGUGAGGGACGAAAGCUGGGGGCACGAGCCGGAUUAGAUACCCGGGUAGUCCCAGCCGUAAACGAUGCUCGCUAGGUGUCAGGCAUGGCGCGACCGUGUCUGGUGCCGCAGGGAAGCCGUGAAGCGAGCCACCUGGGAAGUACGGCCGCAAGGCUGAAACUUAA